rnacentral:rRNA from 1 species
GAUGAACGCUGGCGGCGUGCUUAACACAUGCAAGUCGAACGGAGUUUACAUGAAACCUAGUGAUUGUAAACUUAGUGGCGGACGGGUGAGUAACGCGUGGGUAACCUGCCUUGUACUGGGGGACAACAGUUGGAAACGACUGCUAAUACCGCAUAAGCGCACAGCUUCGCAUGAAGCAGUGUGAAAAACUGAGGUGGUACAAGAUGGACCCGCGUCUGAUUAGCUAGUUGGUGAGGUAACGGCUCACCAAGGCGACGAUCAGUAGCCGGCCUGAGAGGGUGAACGGCCACAUUGGGACUGAGACACGGCCCAAACUCCUACGGGAGGCAGCAGUGGGGAAUAUUGCACAAUGGGGGAAACCCUGAUGCAGCGACGCCGCGUGAGUGAAGAAGUAUUUCGGUAUGUAAAACUCUAAUCAGCAGGGAAGAUAAUGACGGUACCUGACUAAGAAGCACCGGCUAAAUACGUG